AUUGAACGCUGGCGGCAGGCCUAACACAUGCAAGUCGAGCGAGCGGCGGACGGGUGAGUAAUGUAUGGGGACUGCCCGAUAGAGGGGGAUAACUACUGGAAACGGUAGCUCAUACCGCAUAUUAUCGGAUAACCCAUAGGGGAUUAGCUAGUAGGUGAGGUAAUGUCUCACCUAGGCGCCUCUCCCUAGCUGGUCUGAGAGGAUGAUCAUCCACACGGGGACUGAGACACGGCCCAGACUCCUACGGAGGCAGCAGUGGGGAAUAUUGCACAAUGGGCGCAAGCCUGAUGCAGCCAUGCCGCUUUGAUGAAGAAGGCCCUAGGGUUGUAAAGUACUUUCAGUCGGGAGGCGUUACCGACAGAAGAAGCACCGGCUAACUCCGUGCCAGCAGCCGCGGUAAUAC
rnacentral:rRNA from 1 species